CGCGGCCUAUCAGCUUGUUGGUGGGGUGAUGGCCUACCAAGGCGACGACGGGUAGCCGGCCUGAGAGGGCGACCGGCCACACUGGGACUGAGACACGGCCCAGGCUCCUACGGGAGGCAGCAGUGGGGAAUAUUGCACAAUGGGCGCAAGCCUGAUGCAGCGACGCCGCGUGAGGGAUGACGGCCUUCGGGUUGUAAACCUCUUUCGCCAGGGACGAAGCCUUUUGGGGUGACGGUACCUGGAGAAGAAGCACCGGCCAACAACGUGCCAGCAGCCGCGGUAAUACGUAGGGUGCGAGCGUUGUCCGGAAUUAUUGGGCGUAAAGAGCUCGUAGGCGGUUUGUCGCGUCGGCCGUGGAAACUGGGGGCUUAACCUUCAGCGUGCGGUCGAUACGGGCAGGCUUGAGUUCGGUAGGGGAGUCUGGAAUUCCUGGUGUAGCGGUGAAAUGCGCAGAUAUCAGGAGGAACACCGGUGGCGAAGGCGGGACUCUGGGCCGAUACUGACGCUGAGGAGCGAAAGCGUGGGGAGCGAACAGGAUUAGAUACCCUGGUAGUCCACGCUGUAAACGUUGGGCGCUAGGUGUGGGUGACAUUCCACGUUGUCCGUGCCGUAGCUAACGCAUUAAGCGCCCCGCCUGGGGAGUACGG
rnacentral:rRNA from 1 species